UACGAGGGGGGCAAGCGUUGUUCGGAAUUAUUGGGCGUAAAGGGCGCGUAGGCGGGCUCGCAGGUCAGGGGUGAAAGCCCACGGCUCAACCGUGGAAGUGCCUUUGAUACCGUGAGUCUCGAGGGAGGUAGGGGCGUGCGGAACUUCCGGUGGAGCGGUGAAAUGCGUAGAUAUCGGAAGGAACAUCGGUGGCGAAAGCGGCGCGCUGGACCUCUUCUGACGCCUGAGGCGCGAAAGCCAGGGGAGCAAACGGG
rnacentral:rRNA from 1 species